rnacentral:rRNA from 1 species
AUUGAACGCUGGCGGCAUGCUUUACACAUGCAAGUCGAACGGUAACAGGCCGCCAGGUGCUGCCGAGUGGCGAACGGGUGAGUAAUGCAUCGGAACGUGCCCAGUCGUUGGGGAUAACUACUCGAAAGAGUAGCUAAUACCGCAUACGAUCUAUGGAUGAAAGCGGGGGACCGUAAGGCCUCGCGCGAUUGGAUCGGCCGAUGUCAGAUUAGGUAGUUGGGGGGGUAAAGGCUCACCAAGCCAACGAUCUGUAGCUGGUAUGAGAGGACGACCAGCCACACUGGGACUGAGACACGGCCGAGACUCCUGCGGGGGGCAGCAGCGGGGAAUUUUGGACGAGGGGGGAGAGGCUGAUCCAGCAAUGCCGCGUGAAGGAAGAUGGCGUUCGGGUUGUAGACUGCUUUUGUACGGAACGAAACGGCUCUGGUUAAUACCCGGGGAUAAUGACGGUACCGGAAGAAUAAGCACCGGCUAACUACGUG